GGCGGGAAGAUGACCGGGCAAGGAGUUUCCAGAGAAAACCAUGGUUCUUUUUAAAAAAAAAAAAAAAAAAAAGGUUAAGUUCACGUUUUCCUUCAGUGAUUCCUGAGACUUUAAUGCCAUAGGUGGAAGCUCAAGGGGUCAAUGUAAUAACUGUCCCUGGGGCACCAUCUCAUAAGUCUUCUGAACACAGGAGGUCAGAGGAAGGCUCCUCUGAGCUGGCAAGGCCAUCAGAACAGCUGCCCUACUGCUGCAUUUCUGGAAACCGUCUGGGCCAUGCACCCUAACCCUCUAAGCCAGGCGGUGCCACAGCAGGAUUUUCAGGUCACUGAACUUCAUGGUUACUGAGUCUCCCUUGCCUUCUCACAGGCUGCACCAACACCGAAGUCACUCGCUCAGGCCACAGGGAGAGCAGGUGGCAGAGGACCAAUUUUAAGCUCAACUACCACCCAGAAAAGAGGGCUCUUUGCAGCCGGUCCAGAUAUCUCUUUUUAAUCGGGAGACGGGAGGAGGCAAGCGGCUGGCAUAAACUCAUCUCUUCCCACAGAGAAGUGCGAAUGCGCAGGGAUACAAACGUCCACUCUCUUCUCCACAGCACGACUUUCUGCCUCCCUCACCCCCGCAAACAGAUGAAACACCCCAAACCUUCUCUGCUUUUACUCGGUAAUACUGCCACAGAACUCCCCGGGAAGCCCUUCC
rnacentral:lncRNA from 1 species